UCCCUGAUGGUCCAGAGAUUAGGACUCCAUACUGUCACUGUUGAGGGCCCAGGUUCAAUCCCUGGUCAGGGAA